GACGAACGCUGGCAGCGUGCCUAAUACAUGCAAGUCGAACGCUUUUUCUUUCACCGGAGCUUGCUCCAUCGAAAGAAAAAGAGUGGCGAACGGGUGAGUAACACGUGGGUAACCUGCCCAUCAGAAGGGGAUAACACUUGGAAACAGGUGCUAAUACCGUAUAACACUAUUUUCCGCAUGGAAGAAAGUUGAAAGGCGCUUUUGCGUCACUGAUGGAUGGACCCGCGGUGCAUUAGCUAGUUGGUGAGGUAACGGCUCACCAAGGCAACGAUGCAUAGCCGACCUGAGAGGGUGAUCGGCCACACUGGGACUGAGACACGGCCCAGACUCCUACGGGAGGCAGCAGUAGGGAAUCUUCGGCAAUGGACGAAAGUCUGACCGAGCAACGCCGCGUGAGUGAAGAAGGUUUUCGGAUCGUAAAACUCUGUUGUUAGAGAAGAACAAGGAUGAGAGUAAAAUGUCAUCCCUGACGUAUCUACCAGAAG
rnacentral:rRNA from 1 species